rnacentral:rRNA from 1 species
GAUGAACGCUGGCGGCGUGCUUAACACAUGCAAGUCGAACGAAGCACCUCUCCCGAAGAUUGACACAGCUUGCUGUAGAUUGAUUCAUUUGAGGUGACUGAGUGGCGGACGGGUGAGUAACGCGUGGGUAACCUGCCUCAUAGAGGGGGACAACAGUUGGAAACGACUGCUAAUACCGCAUAGUAAGAAGAAUUCGCAUGUUUUCUUCUUGAAAGAUUUAUCGCUAUGAGAUGGACCCGCGUCUGAUUAGCUAGUUGGUAAGGUAACGGCUUACCAAGGCGACGAUCAGUAUCCGGCUUGAGAGAGUGAACGGCCACAUUGGGACUGAGACACGGCCCAAACUCCUACGGGAGGCAGCAGUGGGGAAUAUUGCACAAUGGGGGAAACCCUGAUGCAGCGACGCCGCGUGAGUGAAGAAGUAUUUCGGUAUGUAAAGCUCUAUCAGCAGGGAAGAUAAUGACGGUACCUGACUAAGAAGCCCCGGCUAACUACGUG